GCCGAUAGAGGUGCCUCUGUCGUCACCAUGUCUGGAGUGGCUGGGGAUUCCCGAAGUUUGGGGGAUGUGAAACCCAGAAUUCCUGAAGAUUCCAAUGACAAGUCAAAGAUUUGGAAGCUCACUGAAAUUAACGAACCAUCUCAAUGUAGAUCCUUGAGGCUGCCUGAGAAUGUAAGAGUGAACAAGAUAUCUAGGUUGAUCUACACAAAUUCUGGAAGUGCAAUCUUGGC
rnacentral:misc_RNA from 1 species